rnacentral:rRNA from 1 species
GACGUAGGGCGCGAGCGUUGUCCGGAAUUAUUGGGCGUAAAGAGCUCGUAGGCGGUGUGUCGCGUCGGCCGUGAAAACCUGCAGCUUAACUGUGGGCGUGCGGUCGAUACGGGCAUCACUGGAGUUCGGCAGGGGAGACUGGAAUUCCUGGUGUAGCGGUGAAAUGCGCAGAUAUCAGGAAGAACACCCGUGGCGAAGGCGGUUCUCUGGAACGCAACUGACGCUGAGACGCGAAAGCGUGGGGAGCAAACAGG